rnacentral:lncRNA from 1 species
CAUUAAUGGAUAUGAAAUGAAAUAAUCAACAAGCAUUGACCAAAUAUAUAUGACAUCAUGGUCAAACAAUAGUAAACAGAAGCAACAUGAAGAUUAGAAGUCAAGAAACAAAUAAAAUAUUUUUGGUAUUUUUCAAAAGUAAAAUAAUACUUGAAUUAAAAUAAUAAAGAAAGGUCAAACUUCAAAUUCACUUCAAAUCAACUUUGAAAAG